ensembl:ncRNA lncRNA:CR40172 long non-coding RNA:CR40172
UAUGUGGAAAUUUAAUACUUUUACAUUGCGUUUUUAGUUCUUGAAGAAAUUCUUGUUUCCUAUUUGCAUCCUUAAAGUGUUGCUGUCAUAGCCCAAAGGAUCCGUUGCGAUGUUCCGCAGGUCGAAACCUUUUUGUAAAUGGAUAUGAUGCUAAAAUCCCAUUCAACGGUGCAAACCUCGAUGCCUGCUCACUUGGGACACAUAAGACUUUCACGAGUGCCAAGCUGUUGACGGAUUUAAAAUAAGAAGGCGCGUUGAAAUCUUAGGGACAAUAGUCAAGGGAAGGCGGGGCUAAAAUCUUUACAGGAAGCCCGAAAACAAAUUGUAGCGGAAGCUCACCAAACACAAUAAAUGUUUAAUAAGCCAAAACGACUGAACAAGAAAAGGCAGGCAAAAAAUAGUCACUUUGAAUCGGAACAGAAAGGAAAAGCGAUACUGAUGGGGAGCUGUCUGGAAAAUGAAAAACAUGGCCGAUGGUAUGUGCGUUUUGUAGCGGAAACUCAAGCGGAUGCUUCGCCAGCAAAAACAAAGACGGCGAAAAGGAAAAGUGUGUAGCAGGGGAUAUUUAUGCCAUUUCAAACAAAUUCCACGAGACACUUUGCCUGACAUUUAAAUUGUGUGGUGAUGGGGAAGGCCGGGAUGGAAAAACUACAAGCUGAAACAAUGCUGAUGAUGAGUUUCACUCAGGCCACUAAGUGGGUCGCUUGAAAAAAGCCAUAAACUUCACGAAGUGUAUGGCACUCAAAAAGUCCACAUCUCUUGGCUUUAAUCACUUUUAAGGAGAUAUAGGAAAUU